CCUACGGGAGGCAGCAGUGGGGGAUAUUGCACAAUGGGGGGAACCCUGAUGCAGCGACGCCGCGUGAACGAAGAAAUAUUUCGGUAUGUAAAGUUCUAUCCUCCUUUAAGAAAAUCCGACUACCUGACCAAGAAGCCCCGGCUCCAUACGUGCCAGCAGCCGCGGUAAUACGUAGGGGGCGAGCGUUAUCCGGAUUCACUGGGCGUAAAGGGAGCGCAGGCGGCACGGCAAGUCCGUAGUCCACGCAACGGGCCCAACCACGGGACUGCACUGGAAACUGCCGGGCUGGAGCUCCUGAGGGGCAG
rnacentral:rRNA from 1 species